rnacentral:lncRNA from 1 species
AUGCCCAUGGGGCAUAGAAUUGCCAGGAAAGCUUCCUGGUUCAUACCAGACCUGACCUCCCAGGAAGUGCCCGUAAUUGGGGGCUCCCAUGUUAAGUCUGGAUCUGGGCGGGGGGAGACCAGAGCUGUUGGGGCUUGGUUGCCCCAUUUGGCCUCUCCUCUCUGCCCUCCCCUUCCAGCUGCCCCAGAGCACAUCAGCUAUGUGCCCCAGCUCUCAAACGACACCCUGGCGGGGAGGCUCACCCUGUCCACCUUCACGCUGGAGCAGCCUCUAGGCCAGUUCAGCAGCCACAACAUCUCUGACUUGGAUACCAUCUGGCUGGUGGUGGCCCUCAGCAACGCCACCCAGAGCUUCACGGCCCCACGGACAAACCAGGACAUCCCUGCUCCUGCCAACUUCUCCCAGAGGGGCUACUAUCUCACACUGAGGGCCAACCGGGCGCUGUACCAAGCCAGAGGCCAGCUCCAUGUCCUCCGCGUCGGCAAUGAUACCCACUGCCAACCAACAAAAAUUGGCUGCAACCAUCCCCUACCAGGACCUGGCCCCUACAGGUGAGCAGCUCUGCCGGGCCCUGGCUCCUGCCCGCAUGCACCCAAGCCGGAGCCUGGGGCAGCUCCUACAAGGCUCACCAGGGCCCCAGCAGGAUGCCUGGGUCCCCUGCUCCUGCUUGGCCAAAGGGAAGAGGAAGCAGCAGGCAGGGGCUGGGGAGGCCUUCAUGAAUUACAUGAAUUAUCCUUCUU